rnacentral:rRNA from 1 species
CAGCCGCCGCGGUAAUACCGGCGGCCCGAGUGGCGGUCACUAUUAUUGGGCUUAAAGCGUCCGUAGCCGGGUUGGGAAGUCCUCCGGGAAAUCUGGCCGCUUAAAGGUCAGAAUGCCGGAGGAUACUCCCAGCCUAGGGAGCGGGAGAGGCCGAGGGUAUUCCCGGAGUAGGGGUGAAAUCCUAUAAUCCCCGGAGGACCACCUGUGGCGAAGGCGCUCGGCUGGAACGCGUCCGACGGUGAGGGACGAAGGCCAGGGGAGCAAACCGGAUUAGAUACCCGGGUAGUCCUGGCUGUAAACGAUGCGGACUUUGUGUCGGACAAGCUAUGAGCUUGUCCGGUGCCGGAGGGAAACCGUUAAGUCCGCCGCCUGGGGAGUACGGCCGCAAGGCUGAAACUUAAAGGGAUUGGCGGG